GAUGAACGCUGGCGGCGUGCCUAAUACAUGCAAGUCGAGCGAACGGACGAGAAGCUUGCUUCUCUGAUGUUAGCGGCGGACGGGUGAGUAACACGUGGAUAGCCUACCUAUAAGACUGGGAUAACUUCGGGAAACCGGAGCUAAUACCGGAUAAUAUUUUGAACCGCAUGGUUCAAAAGUGAAAGACGGUCUUGCUGUCACCUAUAGAUGGAUCCGCGCUGCAUUAGCUAGUUGGUAAGGUAACGGCUUACCAAGGCAACGAUGCAUAGCCGACCUGAGAGGGUGAUCGGCCACACUGGAACUGAGACACGGUCCAGACUCCUACGGGAGGCAGCAGUAGGGAAUCUUCCGCAAUGGGCGAAAGCCUGACGGAGCAACGCCGCGUGAGUGAUGAAGGUCUUCGGAUCGUAAAACUCUGUUAUUAGGGAAGAACAUAUGUGUAAGUAACUGUGCACAUCUUGACGGUACCUAAUCAGAAAGCCACGGCUAACUACGUG
rnacentral:rRNA from 1 species